ACGAGUUUUGAUGUUCACGUCAACGUUGUGUUGCGAUUCUCGGUAACGUCGUCGAGAAUUUGUGAAAUUCAUUCGACCUCUUGUUUUUAGAUUUAUAUUCUGAAUGACGGGGGUAGAUGCUGAAGUCUUAGGAGUCUUGAUGAAGCUUGUUCGUUGGUGAAUCAAUUGCGAUUUUGCGGGACUAUUUUUGAUUUAAUUAGUCUUUUGAAGACAUUAGUUCUGAUUGCGAUGAAUUCUAGCUCCAGAUUCAUUCAAAGAUGAUGCGGUGUAGGAGCAUGAAUUACUGGAUGGUUUGUGACCUGCAAUGAGACCGCAGAAGCUGAAUUUUCACGAGUGGCUGUGACCAGUGAUAGAACAGUGGUUGGGGGAUAGUUUCGAGAAUCGAUAGAUUUGCACACACGCUCAUACACAGUGUAUUAGAAUUUUUGUCGUCCAGACGAAAGAUGAGUGUGCGAGUGAACUUUUUCAUUCUAGAUUUCAAAUUGGGGACGAGUUUUUGUUGCAACUUGUACAAUUACAGGUUGCAUAUUUGGAUCUGCAAUUUUACUUAUGGAUUGCAGCUCUUGCUGCGCACGCUCAAUUCAGCAUGGACAGCCUUGCCUUCGGUUACUUUCGAAGCGCAAUUUUCGACGUAUUCCGUGUGCACACACCGAAUACCUCUUGCAGUGCUUUCUUCAAGGUCCCAAGAGCAGGCGAGGCUUUCAAUGCUCUCUAGCUCGAGCAUGCAGGACUGACAUGGCACAAGGAUCUGCUCACAACCCAUAUGAGAUCAUCGUAUGGUCUGAUUUAUCAGUUACAGUAUAAAUAUGUAAAAAAAUCCCUACAUUUACAGUACGAUUGAAUCCAUGAAUGACCUCCUCAACUGGGGAAUAUUUCAAGUUCACGCUAGUAUAAUGUUCAGAGGAUUUUCAAGCACGAUCAUGUUUUCUAUUUAAUGGAAUGCGUUUAACUUACAUUUGUGGAUAAUUUAUUAUACACGUUUAUGUUGCGGGAAGACUCGUACAAACUCUCCGAGCUGAACAUUUUGACAUUUGAA